GAUGAAGAACGUAGCGAAAUGCGAUAAGUAAUGUGAAUUGCAGAAUUCAGUGAAUCAUCGAAUCUUUGAACGCACAUUGCGCCCGCCAGUAUUCUGGCGGGCAUGCCUGUUCGAGCGUCAUUUCAACCAUCAAGCCCCAGGCUUGUGUUGGGGACCUGCGGCUGCCGCAGGCCCUGAAAACCAGUGGCGGGCUCGCUGUCACACCGGGCGUAGUAGAUUUUAUCUCGCUCAGGGCGUGCUGCGGGUUCCGGCCGUUAAAAAGCCUUUUUUACCCAAGGUUGACCUCGGAUCAGGUAGGAAGACCCGCUGAACUUAAGCAUAUCAAUAAGCCGGAGGA
rnacentral:misc_RNA from 1 species